UACGUAGGGGGCAAGCGUUGUCCGGAUUCAUUGGGCGUAAAGAGCUCGUAGGCGGCUUGGCAAGUCGGGUGUGAAACCUCCAGGCUCAACCUGGAGACGCCACCCGAUACUGCCAUGGCUAGAGUCCGGUAGGGGACCACGGAAUUCCUGGUGUAGCGGUGAAAUGCGCAGAUAUCAGGAGGAACACCGGUGGCGAAGGCGGCUUUCUGGUCCGAUUCUGACGCUGAGGCGCGAAAGCGUGGGGAGCGAUCCGG
rnacentral:rRNA from 1 species